rnacentral:rRNA from 1 species
UCAGGCCUAACACAUGCAAGUCGAGCGGGGUUUUCGGACCUAGCGGCGGACGGGUGAGUAAUGCGUAGGAAGCUACCCGAUAGAGGGGGAUACCAGUUGGAAACGACUGUUAAUACCGCAUAAUGUCUACGGACCAAAGUGUGGGACCUUCGGGCCACAUGCUAUCGGAUGCGCCUACGUGGGAUUAGCUAGUUGGUGAGGUAAUGGCUCACCAAGGCGACGAUCCCUAGCUGGUUUGAGAGGAUGAUCAGCCACACUGGAACUGAGACACGGUCCAGACUCCUACGGGAGGCAGCAGUGGGGAAUAUUGGACAAUGGGCGCAAGCCUGAUCCA